UACAGAGGGUGCGAGCGUUAAUCGGAAUUACUGGGCGUAAAGCGCACGUAGGUGGCGACGUAAGUCGGGUGUGAAAGCCCCGGGCUCAACCCGGGAAUUGCAUUCGAGACUGCAUUGCUGGAGUACGGAAGAGGAGGGCGGAAUUCCCGGUGUAGCGGUGAAAUGCGUAGAUAUAGGGAGGAACAUCAGUGGCGAAGGCGGCCCUCUGGUCCAGUACUGACAAUCAAGUGCGAAAGCGUGGGGAGCAAACAGG
rnacentral:rRNA from 1 species